GCCUGGAUAGCUCAGUUGGCAGAGCACGUCAUUGGUAAUGACGAGGUCGCCGGUUCAAUCCCGGCUCCAGGCU
rnacentral:tRNA from 1 species